rnacentral:rRNA from 1 species
UACGUAGGUGGCAAGCGUUGUCCGGAUUUAUUGGGUUUAAAGGGUGCGUAGGCGGUUUUUUAAGUCAGUGGUGAAAUACGUCAGCUUAACUGGCGAGGUGCCAUUGAUACUGGGGAACUUGAGUACUGAUGAGGUAGGCGGAAUGGACGGUGUAGCGGUGAAAUGCUUAGAUAUCGUCCAGAACACCGAUAGCGAAGGCAGCUUACUAAAGAGUAACUGACGCUGAGGCACGAAAGUGUGGGGAUCAAACAGG